GACCAAAGAGCCUAAAGGAGAGUGAAUGUUGGACUUACAUUCAUCAUGUGACCAGACUCCAACUCCAAAUGAAUGCUAAUUUUCCACUUUUUAUUUUCCUCUGGUGGUAUCCAGCCAGGCAGAUACAAGAUAGAUACUCGUCCAGGUUUUAAAAUAUCUGUCUCUGAGAUUUCUGCCUCCACACCAAUACAAUAGAGGUGAAUUGAAUUUUGUUUGUGUUGCAUCCACAGCUUCCUGUCUUUCUGUCCAGAAUAGGAGUGUCCAUUUCGAUGGACAAUCCACAGACCUCACUGUGAAAAGUUUUCAUUGGAAUUACUUCGUACCAAAGAAAUAGCUCUUAUGAAAAUUUGAGAAAUGCAAAAAGACACAUUGCUGUGUUUUUACUGCUGUAAGCACCACAAACUCAAUUCCACGCACCUCCAUAGAUCUUUUCCACCGCAGACAUUUUGGCUUGUCACAGUAGGAAAGCACAGGUGUUACUAAUAGCUAAUAAAAGGCCUAUCGUAUUGUGGUGGAGCCAGAAAUCUCCGAUAGAUAUCUCAAAACCUGGACAAGUAAAACCAAAACAACGGUAUUUGCAUGACUAGAUACCGCUAUACCACAAAGGUUUCUCAAGAAUGAGCAGCAGACUUCUCUGCCACUGAAGGCAUGACAACACUCUGUACUGCACUGCCGGGCAUUCUGCAUCUCCUGCCAUUUCCUAGAGUGAUGAAGUGUCCUUGAGCAAGACACUGAACCCCUAACCGCCAAAAAAUAAUGGGCAAAGAGGUGGAGCGUGGGUGGAGCUGAGGUGCCGGGUUGCUGAAACACGCCCACCUAGCUCGAAGUUGCUAAGAAGCUAGGCUCAGAAGCUAGGCUAUAUGCUAUCCUGUGGUAUGCGGUUGACAAGUACCCAGGCGUCGUCCCACCUUACUCUUGAGUCUUUGUUGAGGUCAUGGCCACCUGUGAUGCCUCCACGCCUGCUUCACACAGCAUAAACUUGUGGGUCAUUGGUGAGAGAGCUGCAGAGACCUUGGGAAGCUACCUCAGCGUGCUGGACGUCCGUGUCUGUUGCUUUGGCUGGGGUGGAAAGGCCUUCUCACCAUCUUUUCCCAGUCCCUGCGAGGAAGAUGCAGAUGUCCUCAUCAUCCACUGUGGCGGCAACAACAUGGGGGAGGUCAGCAGCAUCAAGCAUCAACAUGACGGAGGACCUGCACCAGCUUCACCUCCAGCACCCUGGCAUGAAGACCAAAAAGGUGCCAGUGGAAGGCUGGUGCCAAUCCGGUGAAGCUCAACAAGGCGAGGAAAUGUGUCAACAGUGUUAUAGCUAUGUUUGUUCGUAGCUUAAAUGGUGUUAUGAUUGAGCACCCUCACAGUAGACAUGACAGUCCUGGGCUAUUUUUGAAAGAUGGAGUUAAUUUUACACCUAGAGGAAAUUAUAUGUUUUUAAGUACAGGAGCUAAUUGCCUUAAAGACCACCUUUCAACUGCUUACAGUUGGCAGUGUCACUGGACAGUGCAGUGUCACUCUUCACUGCCAGCAGCCCUAACCAGCAUGCGAACGGCACCCGCCCCAACCAACGAGUGCUCUGCUAGGCUCGGCCUUCCCCACCAAGUGCCGCUCCCCAGAACAGCAUACCCACCUCAACUCUCUCCUUUUCAACACUUAGUAGUCCGCCCCUCCAGUCCUCCUCAGGCACAGGUGCAGCCACUUAUUCUAAUCCGUGUCCGCAGCAGCUCCCCUCCCUGACCACAGUUACAGUACCUAGAUAAGUCUAGCAUUAACGUUACGUUAACGUUACAUUGCCCGUAUGGUAAGUUUAACGUUAAGUUGUUAGCUAACUAACGAGGUGGACCUUUAUUUUCCAACCUCACACAGAUGCCAUUUGUUCAAAAGUAUUAUCACCCUAAAUUCUAACACUUCCCUAUUACGUUUUUACUUUGGUGCAUGCCGGUUUAAAAACUGUGGCUAACAUACGCUCCCGUUAAGUUAGCAUCGUUAGCACAGCUGGGCAUCUUGGACGGCCUGUUGGUAAAAUUAACCACACAGCAAGCCAUAUUAUUCUUCAGAUGUUUUUAUGAAAAAGUCUUGGGCCGCUAGCAGACAGCAGAUCGUUAGCGGUGAUGGCACCAGCAUCCCCCACCUGUCACUCAAAGCGGCCACGCCCUUAGUUAUGCAUAACUUUAAGCCUUAAUAUAAUAUUGAAACGGGUGAGUUAUAAAAAAAUUCACCUCCCUCACAGUUGUCAUGAAGGGGGAAAUUAAGUUUUUUGUACCAGGCUGUAAACAUGUUUAUUUCUGCUGUGAAGUUGGGCAUUUUAACAUGGGGCUCUAUGGGGAUUGAUUCCCUUUUGGAACCAGCCUCAAGUGGCCAUUCGAUGAACUGCAGUUUUCGGCACUUCGUGUUGGCUUCAUUUUUCAGCCCUAGAGGUUGCUGCUUGGUUCUGAAACUCUUUGAGCGGUCGGUAGACUAGAAAAGUGCUAAAUAGAUGCAGUCCAUUUACCAUUUUUUGCAUGUUCUCAAUAUUUUGAAGAGAUUCAACAGUGUUUUUUAAGACUAAUAAUUUAACUUGAUGUGACACAUUUUCCUAAUUGGGGUUAAAACAAACAAACAAGACUUUUCAGUAAAAUUUUUAGGCCAUUACAGCCAGAAAAAGGAACAACUAGUUUCCUCUGUCCAACAUUCAAAACCUAUCAACACCUCUAAAGCUCACCUAUUAACGCGUUGUCUCAUUUGUUCAAUCGGUUCACAAACAGAAAUGUAAAACAACCAACAAUUUGUGUUAACUGAGAGAGUUACGUGCUGUUACACAGUGAAUUUGCUCAACAUUCGAAGUCUGAUGGCGUAUUCACAUUAUUGUGGAAAAACAGCUUUUGUGCUCGCCUCACCAUUAUUGUGUAUUUGGUGCUCUGUGGCUGUGCUAGAUAGCUGCAACUCCACCUCCUCGGCCGGUGCCUCGAGGAAUGUGAGUAUUAAUAUGACUGGGCGGAGUGCAUUCAUUUCUACAUAUGAGAGCUGCUCCAUCCAAAGUGGGAUGAAUGCCGUCUCUCCUAAUCAGACCAGGUCUUCCCCAAAAACUCUGCCAAUUAUCUACAAAGCCCACAUCGUUUGCACACCACCUCGACAGCCAGCGGCGGAAUGAAGACAGGCAGCUAAACAUGUCAUCACUGGUCCGGUUUGGCAGGGGCCCAGAGAAAACUACGGGUCUGCCAUUGCUAGCGUGUACAGAGUGAAGCACUACUGUGCUGAAUCAAAUGUGCAUGUGCGAGAGUUUUGCAAAUCUGGGGUUACUUGCCCCAGGAAGUGCGCCAUCUUUGAAGCCUUUUUUUAAUUGUAGAAAAUUCAAAUUUACAAACUGUAAGGCAAACAUUCAUUACAGUUAUACAAUUUCAUUAAUGUAUAAUGAACAGACACUACAUAAGAGACAUAAAACAUUUACACAAAGACAAUAGAAGAUAGAUUAAGCAGAGUAAAACAUACAAUAAACAAAAACAUUUAAUUAAUUAAUAGAAUUAAGAUUUUUUUUUUACUAAGAUUGACUAAUUGGUCAUUAGUUUUCUAAGACACUUCAUAGGUGAGAUUGUUUUCUAAUAAUACAUAGAGAUCUUUGGCACAUUUGGAUUUCAUUAAUUUCAGGGACUUAGUAUAGAGUUGAAUUUCAUUAUAGUAGCACAUGAAGAUGGUUGGGGUAUUUAUAAAUUUAGCCUUAUGAAUAAAGAAUUUGGCUAAAAUGAGCAAAACAUUAUAUUCAAUUUUGUGUCUUCUAAUAAUACACCAAAAAUAAUACUAUUGUGAUCUAUAGCAGUCAUUGCUGUGGUUUUGCUACUUAACCAUUCCAUGAAUUGUUUCCGGAACAACUGGGUAUGAGAGCAUGAGAUGCUCUGUUGUUUCGACAGGAAACCGUCAUCCAAUCUUUUCACAGUUUCUUAACACACCUCCGGAAAGAGUUUGGCACUCCAGUCGUUAAUUCGUCAGCCAGUCCCCCCCUGCACCUCUACUGGCCAAUCUCCAGCCUUCAGUUCCAGCUCCACAGCCAUCCCCAGUUCCAGUUCCUGCGCCAUCACUCCCUGCUGGAUCGCAGCAGCCAGCACUCCCUGCUGGAUUGCAGCAGCUCCUCGCUCCCAGGCUUUCUGCUGGAUCGCAGUCACCUCCUUUCCCGGCUGGAUCUCAGC